rnacentral:rRNA from 1 species
UACAGGGGGUGCAAACGUUGCUCGGAAUUAUUGGGCGUAAAGCGCGCGUAGGCGGCCACUUAAGUCGGAUGUGAAAGCCCCUGGCUCAACUGGGGAAGUGCACCCGAAACUGAGCGGCUUGGAUGCAAAAGAGGGUCGCGGAAUUCCCGGUGUAGAGGUGAAAUUCGUAGAUAUCGGGAAGAACACCAGUGGCGAAGGCGGCUCACUGGCCCGAUACUGACGCUGAGGCACGAAAGCGUGGGGAGCAAACAGG